rnacentral:snRNA from 1 species
GUACUCACUUCGGCAGCACAUAUACUAAAAUUGGAAUGAUACAGAGAAGAUUAGCGUGGCCCCUGCACAAGGAUGACGUGCAUAUUUGUGAAGAGUUCCAUAUUUUU